AAGCCACUAAGAGCCGCUUUAAUCUAAAUAUGCGGAACUGAGUGUAAAUAAUUUACUCGAUAAUUUAUAUUGUUCUGGUACUCUUAUGUCAUAAACUCAUAAACAUAAACCAAUGCAACGAUAAUCAAUUAAAUUAUAAUGAUAAUAAUUAGUCAGUACUCAGUACUCACUAAUCACUAGGUAUUCAGUUUUCGUUACUUGUCACCAUGAUUUAAGAUAAUUAUUAUCUUAAAUUAUGCUUAUUGCUUGUCACUUACUCACUUGCACGGAUAUUAAUAUACGAUUAAUAUAUUAAAAUAUACUAAUCAGUGCUCACUUGUAAGUGUUACUCACUCUACUAUAGCAAAAUAAUACUAUCCGACGUCGUGUAUAGACAUAUUAUAUAUUAUAGUGUUUGAUGUUAGUCCUUACUCCUUAGUUAUUAAUCUUCUGUCUUAGUCAAUACUCAAUAGUCAGUAAUCAGUGUGCAGACUGUACAGAAAAUAAUAAAAAUGUACAUUUUUUUCUUUCUUAAUCUGUGGAAUAGACCAGACAACAGUUAAGUGUUGACUGUCGAGACCACACACACAUUUUUAAGUGAAAGAAUAUACUACAAAGCCAAUAAACGAUUUGAAGAAAGGUAUUUAUAUAUUUCCAUAACAGACACCUCAAGACAAAAGAUAUGAACAAUAUUCAACUUGUAAAAAAUAAAUAAAUUUGUUAUUAACCAUUGAGAUUUGGACUAUAUAGAUUUCAUGCAUGGGUACAAUUAUUUGAUUGUUUAAAUCGCUUAGAAUGCAAGACAUAAGAGUAUAAGACUGAAGACUGAUACAAAAUUUAUUUAACCAGUUAUUGUAUUAAACAAUAAUAAGUCAGAUAGUCAGAACCACUAGGUAAUGCAUAAGUUUUUCAUAAUGAAAAAAAUAUCGUUCCAGAAAGUUUUCAUACAGAAAUGGAUUUAUUGAUUGAUGUUUUGCUACAAGGAAAAGGAAAUACAAACAAUGGUAACACUACAAGGUUGUUUUUAAAAACCCAGAAAAGUGUACUGAAAUAAUUGGGGUUCAUUUUACAUUGCUAAAGUAUAAUUGAUAAUGGAUUUGAAACUAGUUCAAUUACAUUUGAUGAAUAUACUUUGGGUACAACUACAUUGUUUUUUGGUAUUUAUCCUUAGUGCUGUGUACAACAGAAAAUAAUUUCAGUAUGCAACAGUUUAUUAAUUUAUAUUGAGAAUAAACAUUGUCAAAAUUUUAGAUACUCCCUUCUUUUAUGUAUUCAUAAGAAUUAAUAUAGAAUUGAUUAUUAUUUAUUUUCAAUCAGCGAGAAAGAAGACAAACUGUGAAUGUGGAAAGGUUCAAACAAUAGCUCAUCUUUUAGCAUGCUACAUCUGCCCAAUGUAAUAUAAGACUUGGAAUCUGCAAACAAGGCUAUAGAGGUAGCAGAGUACUGAAGUUGUACAAUAUAAAAACACUAUUUUAUAUGUUACCUUUACUAUACCAUAUAAUGUAUAUUAUCAAUAAGUUUAUUGUAAUUUUAUAUUUGUUGACUUUAAAUUAUAUUUUAUUUUUAAUACUUUAAAUUUGAUCUGUCAUCCCUAACUCGGCAUAAAAAUAACCAUAUAGAACAAAAAUAACCUUUAAAAUUAAAAUAUAUAUUAUGAAGAACUUUAUAUAGUCAAAAAAAAAAAUUAAAAUUAAUAUAUUUUUAUCUUCUUUCUAUCAUUAAUACACAAUAGAAGUGUUUCUCCAAGUAUUGUUCAGCUAUUUAAAAUCAGAAUGAUGGUGCAUUCAUUUUGUCAUGUAUCAUCAUAACGGACAUGGACUAAGACAGAAAGGACUGGAAACACUGGAAACGAGCCCGAAAGAUUUCCUUAGUAACAGUAGUCAGUAGUACCACAGAACAAUAAAUAAUUCCGUUACACAUUUGGCACAUGCAUUGAAUUAUGAAAAACAAUUGGUAUAUGUAUAUUGGCCAAAAGACAAAUGCAGCUUACUAAGAGAUGAUGUAGCUUUAGUCGACUCUCCGGGACUGGACCGGGAGUAAAUGUUACACCACAUUUGGAUGAUUGGAUUGAUGGCGAUGUUUUUAUGUUAAUGGCUAAUGCUGAAUCAACAUUGAUGAUUGCUGUAAGUCAAUUGUGUAUAUUAUAAAUAAUAUUUCAACAAUUUUUAAUGUAGUAUUUUAUAUUGUAUUUAAAAUUUAGUUGAGUUAAUAUAGUAUAUACCAACAUUUUUAGUGGUACUCCUGGUUAGGUUAAAUAUAAUUAUUCUAUAUCUAACAAUCAAAAAUAUAUUAUUUUUAAAAAAAUAUGGAAAAUGAAUUUAUAAUUAAACUAAAAUCAUAUAUUAUAUUAUUAGACUAUAUAAAU